UUCCCGUGUUCUGAUCAUUUUCUGGUGCUGACGUCAUCUGCUUGUUUUUCCUUCUUCUUUCAGAUGUUCUGCUGCCCUGUUAUUUAACCAAACAAUAGCUGCAGCAAUGGUUUGAAUAUAUGCCUCACCCUGUUCCAUUGACUUAGAUGAGGUGGAAGUCUGCUCCCUGCCUCCCCAUUCAUCUGAAUGAGGUGAAAACGUCAAUCUUAGCUGAAACGAUUUAAAUCAGUCUGGAUCUCUUGACCUAUUUAUGAGAUUUGCAAGGCGUGGUCAGCAACUCUUCCAAAAAUCUGGCGAACUGCUGGUAUCUGAUUGGAAAACGAGAAAACAGCGGAUCCCUCNCGCACCCGACCUUCCUCGUAGACUGUUCCAGCGGGAGAAAGGAACUGCUGAACGCACGGCCUGACAGCAAAAUAUACAGGCGACCUCUCAACC
rnacentral:lncRNA from 1 species